rnacentral:rRNA from 1 species
UCAGACUUGGUAUUUUGCGUUCCCUUCCUUUUUGGUUGGGUUCCUCGCAGUUUACUGGGCCAGCAUCGGUUUGGAUGGUAGGAUAAUGACAUUGGAAUGUAGCUUUACUUCGGUGAAGUGUUAUAGACUUUGUUGAUACUGCCUAUCUAGACCGAGGACUGCRUCUUUGACUAGGAUGCUGGCGUAAUGAUCUUAAGCCGCCCGUCUUGAAACAC